UGCAGCUCUUUCAGAACAUCAGCUAUCUGGAUUUGGGUGAAGGAGAAAUGGGGGAGGCUUGGGCAAGUUACAGUGAGGGGUGCAGGGCUGUUGACCGGGGUCGGGGUAGCCAGGUGGAAAGCAUGGAUGCAAAUUUCUGUUUGAAAAAGCUAGCCUUUGCUUUCCUAACUGCCUGUGUAUAUUGGUUCCUAACUUCCCUGAAAAGUUGCAUAUCGCGGGGGCUAGUCGAUGCUAAUGCAGUACGCCACAGGAUAUUUUUGUGUUGGUCAAGG
rnacentral:lncRNA from 1 species